AAGUAUUUCAACUCAGAUUACUCAGAAGAAAUAUAUUUAAGGAGCCACACGUGGGCCGAAUUCAGGUCUUAGUUACCACAGCUAGCAGAAGCAAAUCCAAGCAAAGACGUAUGUCAUCAGAGGAGACAGCAGAUUCUCAUUAAACGAAACAGCUAAUUCAGCAACUGUUUGCUCAGGAGUUCUAACAGUAAGUGCUCUUAGAAUUUUUCAUAAUUAUUUCAUUUUUCUAAUUUAUUGAGACUUUGUCCUAAUGUCUACCAAAUACUUCUGAAAACACAUAUUAGCUAAGUUGUGUUGGUACAAAUACAGUGUUAGACUAUUACAUAGAGAUAAAGAAGAAAAUAUUUUGAUUGAGAUUAUGCUGAUGCAUCUCGGUCAUGUUGGUCUCUCCUUCAUCCCUUCCAUCUUAAAAAUAAUCUAGCAGAGCCCCAAGGAAUAGAAAACAGGGCAAAAAGACCAUCAAAGGUAGAGAACAGUUUUCAUACAACACAUGAGUAAACAGACUACGCAGUAUGUAAAGUCAUGAGCAGAAAGGUAAAUAAAUAAUUUUUUACUAUUUCUUAGUACAAGAGCUAUGGGAUACGGAAUGAAAUUAUCAAAUGGAAAGUUCAUAGCAUAUCCUCACAAAGGGUAAGUUAAAUCACUGGCUUCAUUGCCUCAAGAUGCUGUGAAUAUCAAAGGACUGAACACAAUCAGAAAGAGAAAUUCACAGAGAAAUACCUCUAAUUUAUCCCAGAUAUACUGACUCUCCUCUCAAAUUGGCGAAAGCUUAAGUAGUCUACCAGGGAAGUGUUCCUCUAUGCUUAUAAUGCCCUUUUACCCUUCCCUAGGUAUCUGCUAUUGAUCAUCACGGGUUGUAGGAAGGUCUGACUCAGUAUAAUUGCUUUUAGCUUUUUAGAUUCUUACAAUCAAUAUAUAGUAUUCUCAUGCAAAUACAAAAUAAAGCUGACCCUUCUGCUGGUCAGGAAUGUGUUCAUUUCACAUAGGGAGUUCUAAACUAUUUGUGUAGCACUAGCUUAUUCUUGUACCUUUUUUUAAUUACUAGUUUUACUUUUGAAGGACAUCUCGGGAAAUUGGUUUAUUCACUCCCUAAAAAAUGUUAGACUAAUAUAGAAUGUUUUAAAUAAUGAUUGUAUCUUCUGAAUGCAAUAAUUACACAUGUAAUCACACUAGAGUCACAUACUAUAUCCCUGUCCUGUGACACUUAAUAUCUUUGUGCUUGCCCUAGACUGCAUUUCUUUUUUUUUUUCCAGCUAUAUUCCAAUUGCAAACACAUCACUUACUUGAUUAUCACUGUCACCUGGAGGUCUGUUUCCACAAUUCUAUCUUCCCAUUAGGUAGUAUCUUUUGAUCAUCAUCUUUAGAUGCAUUCCUUCUCUGCAAAUUGAUACAAUUUAUCUUCUGCUCAUGCUUUUCUCCUUUUAGGGCGUCAUCUAUUUUAUGUUGUUAUAAAAUUAAAUUGAUUUACUUCAUUGCUUAGAGUAAAAACUUCUAAAUUCUUUUUAGAGUAGUACUUGUGAAUGAUGUCACGUUGUUCAUCUUAAAAUGUAAAUUCUCUAGCUAUUCUGAGAUCAUGAACAAUACAGCAAGAGCUAUAUCUCCCACACUGUACAGUUGCACACGUUGCUGUGUUAAUCAACUUCAAGUUUGAUUUGAAGGGCUUUUUUUAGUCACUGUUUACACUGGUGAAAUUUGUAAUGCAGCACUCCUGCAACUCCACAAAUAAACACAAUUUUUUUUUCCUUUUCCCAGGAAAAAUGUAGUUUGGGGGCAAGAUGCUAGUUUAUGUUUCUUUCCUUUUUAAAGAUAAGUACUUUAAUCAGAGUAUUGAAGAGAUUUGAUGUUCCAGACCUUUGUUUGUUUGCAGAGAUUCAUAAUAAAAAUCAUGUCUUCCACAAGUAUAUUUGACCUAGUUCUAAAUGAAUUCAUUUGGAUACCAGUAACCAUUAAUUACAGUAGCAUGUUAUAUUGUGUUUGCUGUGUUGCUGAGGUGUUUAGUCUGUCUAAUCUGAGCUUUUUGCCUCUGUGCUGGGAGUGCAAACAUCAAAUCUAGAUUAAAAUUAAUUUGUCUGCUUUUAUCUGUGGUUCAUCAGCUCUGAAACUGUUUGCAGUGUAAGUGUUAAA
ensembl:lncRNA